rnacentral:rRNA from 1 species
UACGUAGGGUGCAAGCGUUGUCCGGAAUUAUUGGGCGUAAAGAGCUCGUAGGCGGUUUGUCGCGUCUGCUGUGAAAACUCGGGGCUUAACCCCGGGCCUGCAGUGGGUACGGGCAGACUAGAGUGCGGUAGGGGAGACUGGAAUUCCUGGUGUAGCGGUGAAAUGCGCAGAUAUCAGGAAGAACACCCGUGGCGAAGGCGGCUCUCUGGGACGGUACUGACGCUGAGGAGCGAAAGCGUGGGAGCGAACAGG